UACGGAGGGUGCAAGCGUUAUCCGGAUUCACUGGGUUUAAAGGGUGCGUAGGUGGGCAGGUAAGUCAGUGGUGAAAUCUCCGAGCUUAACUCGGAAACUGCCAUUGAUACUAUUUGUCUUGAAUACUGUGGAGGUCAGCGGAAUAUGUCAUGUAGCGGUGAAAUGCUUAGAUAUGACAUAGAACACCAAUUGCGAAGGCAGCUGGCUACACAAAUAUUGACACUGAGGCACGAAAGCGUGGGGAUCAAACAGG
rnacentral:rRNA from 1 species